UAACAGUCACCUAUCUUACCCUGCUUUACAAGCCCUGUAACCCGGACACAUUUUACUUAAACACUAAUGACAUUUUGAUAAUUUAAAGAACAAAUACAAUUUGGAAAUAUGAACUAGGCAGGAUCUGAUAAUGGCCUAUUAAAGCACCAAGGGCAAUGUCUGCAUCUCACUUUGGUGGACAGAAAGAAACCUGACUGGAAGAAUCUGGAGGGCACUGAAGGAGCACGAUAUUAUCCUUUUAGUCCAGAGAGUACUAUCCAACAGCUUCACAAUGCACUAGUUUGAGACAGAGAUUGUGAAAUUCCAGCCUUUUGGCACUGAAAUACUAACCUUUUGGCUGGUUUGUUGUAGUGUCCUACCUCCCCUCAACCGUCUCAUCCCUGAAAACAGCUGCAAUCCAAGUGGGGCAAGGUCCUAAGCUUUUUUCAGCUUCUACCUUCAGCUCCUCUGAAACCCAUUCUCUUCUUCUAAAGGGACCUCCAAAACAUUUCUGAGGUUUGACAUUUUCACAGGACAUGGGUUUCUCAACUGGAAUUACAUGCAGAGCACAGCCACCUUGAACUGGCCGAACAGCUCCCGAUUGCAGGAUAGCUUGUUUCCCUGCUCAGUCCAUCCAUUCUGUCUGCAGCUGUUCUCAGGGGACACAUAUAAUCAUCACAUUUGUCGCGAUGGCAAUGGUGAUAAUGAUACCGUGUGCAC